UACCGGCAGCUCGAGUGAUGGCCGAUUUUAUUGGGCCUAAAGCGUCCGUAGCUGGCCCUGCAAGUCCGUCGGGAAAUCCACUCGCCUAACGAGUGGGCGUCCGGCGGAAACUACAAGGCUUGGGACCGGAAGACUUGAGGGGUACGUCUGGGGUAGGAGUGAAAUCCUGUAAUCCUGGACGGACCGCCGAUGGCGAAAGCACCUCAAGACGACGGAUCCGACAGUGAGGGACGAAAGCUAGGGUCUCGAACCGG
rnacentral:rRNA from 1 species